GAUGAACGCUAGCGAUAGGCUUAACACAUGCAAGUCGAGGGGCAGCAUGGUCUUAGCUUGCUAAGGCUGAUGGCGACCGACGCACGGGUGCGUAACGCGUAUGCAACUUGCCUCACAGAGGGGGAUAACCCGUCGAAAGACGGACUAAUACCGCGUACACUCUAUGUUGGGCAUCCAAUGUAGAGGAAAUGAAAUUCGCUGUGAGAUAGGCAUGCGUCCCAUUAGCUAGUUGGUGAGGUAACGGCUCACCAAGGCGACGAUGGGUAGGGGAACUGAGAGGUUGAACCCCCACACUGGUACUGAGACACGGACCAGACUCCUACGGGAGGCAGCAGUGAGGAAUAUUGGUCAAUGGGCGAGAGCCUGAACCAGCCAAGUCGCGUGAAGGAUGACUGUCUUAUGGAUUGUAAACUUCUUUUAUACGGGAAUAACAAGAGUCACGUGUGGCUCCCUGCAUGUACCGUAUGAAUAAGCAUCGGCUAACUCCGUG
rnacentral:rRNA from 1 species